AUCCUGUCAUUUAGGAACAUCAAUCUAUCAACUCUGUGGAGGACAACUCUCUGUAGGAGAGCCCAAAAGCCAAGAGGACAAUUAUAAACAACUCAAGCAGAAUCCUUUAAGAGGAGAGCAGAAUGGAGUUGUUCGAUUUUCAUGCCACUAAGAGAAAUUCCCAAUUCCAAACCAUUGCUGUGCUACUUCUCCUAAUAAAAGAAAUGGGAUAUGGUUGACACUUGAGGUUUUAUAACUAUGGAUCCGAACAGCAGCAAGAAAUAAGAUAAGAAAACUGAGGACCACUGAGAUAUUAGUGCCAGAGGCAUUAUAUGAACCUGACCCCAAAGUCUUGUACUCUUUCCAAACAUCCAUUCUGACAGACAACAACUGGCUAAAGAUGUACAAUUCAUUUCAGAAUUCCCUGAAUCUGUGAAGGAUGUGGGCAUCAAAACACAAGAAAACCAGCUGUCAAAAGGAAUGAGCAAAUUUUGAAAUGAUGCCAAAAUGAGGGAAGUGACAACAGUCAUAAGCCUCCUGCUCCAAAAGCUUUGGUUCUGCAGAAAGUGGCAUGUUAAUCUUAAAUGAAAAUAACUUAAAGCUAUGUAUACAUAUAUCUUAUAAUAGGUUCCAAAAGAAUAACUGGACCUAACCUUAGGACAACUGAGUUCUCUUCAGUAAUAAAGCUUAUAAAUAUUUUUAGGAAUCUAAAAAUAUCACCUUGUUAAAUGGUCAAAAGAUAUGAAUAGGCAGAUAUCAGAAGAAAUAAAAGCUCAUAAUCGCGUAAGAAUUUUCCAAAGAAUUAUUGAUUAGAGAAAUGCACAUUAAAACAACUCUUAAGGAAUCACCUCCCACCUAUCAGACUGGCUAAAAUGUCAGAGAAAAGGUAAAUGAUGAAUGCUAGAGGGGAUAUAGAGAUAUAUAGAGAUACUGACAGAAUACUGAAAGAGUUGGGAACUUAUCCAACCUUUCUGGAGAGCAUUUGGAACUAUGCCAAAAGGGCUAUCAAACCAUAUCAAAUCUUUGACCUAUGUAAUUGGUAAUCUCUUUCCAUAAAAACUACAUUUCCAAGGAGCCCACUGAUUCCCUAUUACUUUUGUAAAGAGCUGAUGUUGACAGAGAGAUAUAUUGGGUGGGGUUCCUGGUCUCUCUUUGCUUCUGUCAGUGACUCUGGUGGAGAAUGGGGUUUCUGAACAGGUAAAUUAGCCAUAGGCACAUGGUUUUACGUUGUUACCUUUUUAUUCCUUUAUUUCUCUUGGUCAUUAAUAAAUCUCUAUAAAUAUAAUACUUUAAAUUAUUGUAGACUAACCACUGAAGUUGGAGAAAGAAUUCUCAAUUUUUAAGUCAUAUUUCUCCUGCCAUGGCUUCCCCCCC